AAUCAAGUGCCUUAAGGGUGUUCGGUGGAUGCCUUGGCGCUGAGAGGCGAAGAAGGACGUGCUACGCUGCGAUAAGCCGUGGGGAGCUGCGAAGAAGCUUUGAUCCAUGGAUUUCCGAAUGGGGAAACCCACCUUCGAUAGCCGGAACUCCAAGACCUUUGUCGAAAGACAUUGGUGUGGGGUUCGAUCAGAAAUGAGAGAAGCCAGGCCUUUAGAUUUCGAUCGAGAGGUUUUGGAUUUCCGGUUAUCAAGAGAAGGUAUGAGACUUCUGAAUACAUAGGAGGUUUCAAGCAAACCCAGGGAACUGAAACAUCUAAGUACCUGGAGGAAAGGACAUCAACAGAGACUCCGUUAGUAGUGGCGAGCGAACGCGGACCAGGCC
rnacentral:rRNA from 1 species